rnacentral:rRNA from 1 species
GGAUUAGAUACCCUGGUAGUCCACGCAGUAAACGUUGUUCACUAGGCGUAGCGGGUAUUGACCCCUGCUGUGCCGCAGCUAACGCAUUAAGUGAACCGCCUGGGGAGUACGGCCGCAAGGCUAAAACUCAAAGGAAUUGACGGGGGCCCGCACAAGCGGUGGAGCAUGUGGUUUAAUUCGACGCAACGCGAAGAACCUUACCUGGACUUGACAUUUCGAUCGCGGUUACCGGAGACGGUUUCCUUCAGUUCGGCUGGAUCGAGGACAGGUGCUGCAUGGCCGUCGUCAGCUCGUGCUG